rnacentral:rRNA from 1 species
AGAGUUUGAUCCUGGCUCAGGAUGAACGCUAGCGACAGGCCUAACACAUGCAAGUCGAGGGGCAGCGGGGAGGUAGCAAUACCUUUGCCGGCGACCGGCGCACGGGUGAGUAACACGUAUGCAAUCCACCUGUAACAGGGGGAUAACCCGGAGAAAUCCGGACUAAUACCCCAUAAUAUGGGCGCUCCGCAUGGAGAGCCCAUUAAAGAGAGCAAUUUUGGUUACAGACGAGCAUGCGCUCCAUUAGCCAGUUGGCGGGGUAACGGCCCACCAAAGCGACGAUGGAUAGGGGUUCUGAGAGGAAGGUCCCCCACAUUGGAACUGAGACACGGUCCAAACUCCUACGGGAGGCAGCAGUGAGGAAUAUUGGUCAAUGGUCGGCAGACUGAACCAGCCAAGUCGCGUGAGGGAAGACGGCCCUACGGGUUGUAAACCUCUUUUGUCGGAGAGUAAAGUACGCUACGUGUAGCGUAUUGCAAGUAUCCGAAGAAAAAGCAUCGGCUAACUCCGUGCCAGCAGCCGCGGUAAUACGGAGGAUGCAAGCGUUAUCCGGAUUUAUUGGGUUUAAAGGGUGCGUAGGCGGCACGCCAAGUCAGCGGUGAAAUUUCCGGGCUCAACCCGGACUGUGCCGUUGAAACUGGCGAGCUAGAGUGCACAAGAGGCAGGCGGAAUGCGUGGUGUAGCGGUGAAAUGCAUAGAUAUCACGCAGAACCCCGAUUGCGAAGGCAGCCUGCCAAGCCAUUACUGACGCUGAUGCACGAAAGCGUGGGGAUCAAACAGGAUUAGAUACCCUGGUAGUCCACGCAGUAAACGAUGAUCACUAGCUGUUUGCGAUACACUGUAAGCGGCACAGCGAAAGCGUUAAGUGAUCCACCUGGGGAGUACGCCGGCAACGGUGAAACUCAAAGGAAUUGACGGGGGCCCGCACAAGCGGAGGAACAUGUGGUUUAA